GGGCGCCUAGCUCAGGUGGUAGAGCAGCUGACUCUUAAUCAGCGGGUCGGGGGUUCGAAUCCUCCGGCGCCCGCCA
rnacentral:tRNA from 1 species